rnacentral:rRNA from 1 species
CGUACACUCCUGCGGGAGGCAGCAGUGGGGAAUAUUGCACAAUGGGCGCAAGCCUGAUGCAGCCAUGCCGCGUGUAUGAAGAAGGCCUUCGGGUUGUAAAGUACUUUCAGCGGGGAGGAAGGCAAUACGGUUAAUAACCGUGUUGAUUGACGUUACCCGCAGAAGAAGCACCGGCUAACUCCGUGCCAGCAGCCGCGGUAAUACGGAGGGUGCAAGCGUUAAUCGGAAUUACUGGGCGUAAAGCGCACGCAGGCGGUCUGUCAAGUCGGAUGUGAAAUCCCCGGGCUCAACCUGGGAACUGCAUUCGAAACUGGCAGGCUUGAGUCUUGUAGAGGGGGGUAGAAUUCCAGGUGUAGCGGUGAAAUGCGUAGAGAUCUGGAGGAAUACCGGUGGCGAAGGCGGCCCCCUGGACAAAGACUGACGCUCAGGUGCGAAAGCGUGGGGAGCAAACAGGAUUAGAUACCCCAGUAGUCCCAUG